rnacentral:rRNA from 1 species
CCUACGGGAGGCAGCAGUGAGGAAUAUUGGUCAAUGGGCUUACGCCUGAACCAGCCAAGUCGCGUGAGGGAAGACUGCCCUAUGGGUUGUAAACCUCUUUUGUCAGGGAGCAACGCCGGCUACGUGUAGCCGGACGGAGAGUACCUGAAGAAAAAGCAUCGGCUACACCCGUGCCAGCAGCGGGGGUAAUACGGAGGAUGCGAGCGUUAACCGGAUUAAUUGGGUGUAAGGGGAGCGUGGACGGCCCUGCAAGCCAGGGGUGAAAGCCCGGGGCCCAACCCCGGGACUGCCCUUGGAACUGGAUGGCUGGAGUGCGGGAGGGGCAGGCGGAAUUCGUGGUGUAGCGGUGAAAUGCGUAGAUAUCGGGAGGAACACCGGCGGCGAAGGCAGCCUGCUGGACCGCGACUGACGUUGAGGCUCGAAAGCGUGGGGAGCGAACAGGAUUAGAUACCCCGGUAGUC